rnacentral:lncRNA from 1 species
CGAGGCGGAGCGGGGCGGGGCGGAGCCGCUGCCUCAGGUAACAAUGCUGCGGACCGGGCUGCUCCCCGCGCCGGCCGCGAAGGGCAGCACGCCCUUUCCUGCUCGGCGGCCUCCCCCGCUCCCCUCCACCCUCUGGGCGCCGCCGACGCCGCCACCGCGCUCGCCUUCACCUGCCCCGGGCUCUCGGGUCUUGGAAGCCGCGCUCGCAAGCUGUUCCCGGCACGCGAAGACGGAUGCGGGCUGUGGAGGGAGAUCGGGGAGAGGGAGACGGAGAUGGCGCGGCUUGGAGUGGAGCCGGGUGUCCUAGUGGAACGGGCGAGGGAGGCGCCACGCUGGCUUCGGAGCGGGCAAGCGGCUUCCACAAAGGAGCCUCUGCCGCAGCCUCCCGGACACCCUCCCCUGCGCACACGCGCGCGCACACACCGCACACACUUCAGCAAGCACGCACACCCUCCAGCACACUCACGCAUCCCCGCGCGCCGCAGAGCCUGUUUCUCCCUGGAGCACUGGGCUGCACUCGGAGGACUGUCCCAGCCCGGUGGCCGAACUUUGGCGGGCCCGAGCUUCCCCAGCGGUCCGCCCCUUCUUGGGGCCUGCCAACCUAUAAGUUUGUAGGUUUUUUUUGUUUAUUUGUUUGUUUGUUUUAAAUCUCAAUGAUGGUAACAGAGGAAACUUCGCGUUUUAUUAAAAACAGAGCAGAAAGCAAAAGUCUCUUCCAUGCCUGGGUGAACGGACUGACGCGGUCUGGGGAGCGCUCCUCCUGCUCUCCACGGGGGGAAACAGAGAAAUCAGUCUAAUCUUUUUUUUUUUUUUUUCCCCCUCCAGUGACUUGUGACGCCAGGCAGUGAGAAGCGAGUCGUCAAAGAAAACUCACCGGGCAGAUCGGCAGGGGCGGAAGUCAGCUGCCGAGUGGGGAGGCGCCCUCUGCGGGGAUGAGGUCAUCGCCACCUUUGACUCGGUGAUCCCAGAUAACCGACCAGGCUUUUCCAGGCUCAGGUGCCUGGGGACUUCCUCCUUCUCCACCUGGUCCCCGGUGCCUGAACCCAAAGGACAGAAUUCCUCGCAUGCUCCUUGGAUAGAAAAAGAGGAACUAGUAAUGUAGACCAAGCGACCAACCAACUAGACCCCAAACCUGCUCACCAGUAGCCCGUUUCUUGGUCAUGGGUCAGGUGUACACUCCGAAAAAGAAACGGAUGCUAGUAAGAUCAUGGAAAGGCUCGAGAGUCGGAAAAGGUGAUUAACGACAGUCCUGUGUUUUAUACUGAUAUUAAUCCCAAAUGAAUAUUGACUCGAGUGGCAAAAGUUGACUGACAGGGUGCCACAAGUGAGGAACGGUUGGCAUCCUCUACCUUUCUUUCCCGGCUGCGAGGGGGGCCCACACCUGCUGCCUCUUCCCACUCCUCCAGCCCUGGGAACAUGGCCGCCCAGCAUGCGCUCUGAAUCAGUCACCUUAGCCCUGUGUAGAGAGGCUCACCUGUGAUCCCAGCUGCUGCGAGGCAGGGGCAGGAGGAUCACUUGAGCCGGGAGGUUAGGCCAACCUGGGCAACAGCCAGACCCCUGUCUCAAAAAAAAAAAAAAAAGAUAUCACUAAGUGGUCAAGUUGGGCGACCCACCCCUGCCUCUCCUCCCUCUGAUCUCUGCAGGGUCCUGCCAUCUGCUUUUCUGGCCUUCCCUGAGGACCCUUCUUUUCCUUUGAGGGUGGUCAUAAGCCUCUUCCAAGUCUUGAUCUCCCAUCAUCCAUUAUUAUCGCAAGCCAAUUGCCUUUCACUCCAACCUGGAUGGUCCUGCUUUGGUGGGGCUUGAAGCCUACAACUUGUGAGGGAGGUUUUUAAAGCACAACAAUAAAAACUUACAAACAAAUGCUAGGUAUCUGUCCUUGGAAGGGCCCAGGGAAAAUGAGGGACAUGGAAACGGAAAGGUCAAAGCAAAUUCACUCCUUAUUUUCCCACUGCCAGGGACUCUUGCUUCAUAUUCUUUUAGUUCUAAAGUCCGAAUUCAGUCUAUAAAGUGUACUCAUCUUUCUGUCAGAACUGAUCCUCU